UACGUAGGGGGCAAGCGUUGUCCGGAUUUAUUGGGCGUAAAGAGCGUGUAGGCGGCUUGGCGAGUCCGCUGUGAAACUCGAGGCUCAACCUCGAGACGUCGGUGGAAACUGCCUCGCUAGAGUCCGGAAGAGGAGAGUGGAAUUCCUGGUGUAGCGGUGAAAUGCGCAGAUAUCAGGAAGAACACCCGUGGCUAAGGCGGCUCUCUAGUACGGUACUGACGCUGAGACGCGAAAGCGUGGGGAGCGAACAGG
rnacentral:rRNA from 1 species